UCCUCCGUGGCGCAAUUGGCUAGCGCGUCUGACUGUUAUCGUUAUCUGCUAACACAGGUUAUCGGUUGCCAUCAGGAGGUUGACAGUUCAAGCCUGUCCGGGGGAG
rfam:Microdochium bolleyi strain J235TASD1 unplaced genomic scaffold Micbo1qcscaffold_3, whole genome shotgun sequence.